UGGGGAAUUUUACACAAUGGGGGAAACCCUGAUGUAGCAACGCCGCGUGGAGGAUGACGGAUCUAGGUCUGUAAACUCCUUUUAUAAGGGAAGAAAUUUGACGGUACCUUAUGAAUAAGCACCGGCUAACUCCGUGCCAGCAGCCGCGGUAAUACGGGGGGUGCAAGCGUUACUCGGAAUCACUGGGCGUAAAGGGAGCGUAGGCGUUUUAUGAAGUCUUGAGUGAAAGCUCGCAGCUCAACUGCGGAACUGCUCAGGAAACUGAUAGAAUUGAGUAUGGAAGAGGUAGGUGGAAUUUCCGGUGUAGGGGUAAAAUCCGUAGAUAUCGGAAGGAAUACCAGAAGCGAAGGCGACCUACUGGGACAUUACUGACGCUGAGGCUCGAAAGCGUGGGGAGCAAACA
rnacentral:rRNA from 1 species